rnacentral:rRNA from 1 species
AUUGAACGCUGGCGGCAGGCCUAACACAUGCAAGUCGAACGGUAACAGGAAACAGCUUGCUGUUUCGCUGACGAGUGGCGGACGGGUGAGUAAUGUCUGGGAAACUGCCUGAUGGAGGGGGAUAACUACUGGAAACGGUAGCUAAUACCGCAUAACGUCGCAAGACCAAAGAGGGGGACCUUCGGGCCUCUUGCCAUCGGAUGGGCCCAGAUGGGAUUAGCUAGUAGGUGGGGUAACGGCUCACCUAGGCGACGAUCCCUAGCUGGUCUGAGAGGAUGACCAGCCACACUGGAACUGAGACACGGUCCAGACUCCUACGGGAGGCAGCAGUGGGGAAUAUUGCACAAUGGGCGCAAGCCUGAUGCAGCCAUGCCGCGUGUAUGAAGAAGGCCUUCGGGUUGUAAAGUACUUUCAGCGGGGAGGAAGGGAGUAAAGUUAAUACCUUUACUCAUUGACGUUACCCGCAGAAGAAGCACCGGCUAACUCCGUG